CCUACGGGUGGCAGCAGUAGGGAAUAUUGCUCAAUGGGGGAAACCCUGAAGCAGCAACGCCGCGUGGAGGAUGAAGGUUUUAGGAUUGUAAACUCCUUUUGUUAGAGAAGAAAGUGCGUGAGAGUAACUGUUCACGUUUCGACGGUAUCUAACCAGAAAGCCACGGCUAACUACGUGCCAGCAGCCGCGGUAAUACGUAGGUGGCAAGCGUUAUCCGGAUUUAUUGGGCGUAAAGGGAACGCAGGCGGUCUUUUAAGUCUGAUGUGAAAGCCUUCGGCUUAACCGGGGUACUGCAUUGGAAACUGGCAGACUUGAGUGCAGGAGAGGAGAGUGGAACGCCAUGUGUAGCGGUGAAAUGCGUAGAUAUAUGGAAGAACACCAGUGGCGAAGGCGGCUCUCUGGUCUGUAACUGACGCUGAGGUUCGAAAGCGUGGGUAGCAAACAGGAUUAGAUACCCUUGUAGUC
rnacentral:rRNA from 1 species